rnacentral:lncRNA from 7 species
AAUCAUUCCUAUUCAACGCCAUUUUGGCACUCCUGACAUAAACUUCUGGGGGCAAAAAGUGAUCCCAAACCUUUUAUCACCACUACGUUUUGACAUGAGUUUCAGGAGUCGUGGCCUCAGUUUCCAAAACUGGGAAAUGCAAAAAACAAAUUGUAAGUCAGAAAGGGCUCUGACUGGACUAAAUAACCCGUCUAGUCCUACUACCCAUUUAAAAGAAAAUAUAAAAUUCUCUUAGCUAUUCUGAUAUUAGAGUCAUGAAACAUUUGCAAGACAUGGUGAUGUACUGGAAAGAGAUUGCUGUUUUCUUUUGUUAAUGUUUCUUGGGAAACUGGUUCCUCCCCACCUCACCCCCUCAUCUGGAGAACCAGAGGGACACCAAGGAGGCCAGAACAGAGCUAUUCAGGACCGCACAGGGAGGGGGAAGCCAGGUACAGGUGAAGAGUGAUCCGCUUUAAAUACCGUUUUCUUUGCGUCUGGACUCACGUUUAAACACCUGUGGCUCUGUUCAGGACCAGCAGCAAGUGCUGGUCAGUGACAUCUCUUCUGGUUGCUUCAGCCAGCCAGGCCCUGGGUGCCACGCAGCGAUGUCACUGUGAUGACAUGUUGGUGUCGUGGUGACAUUUGAGCAUUGCCCAACAGAACACUCCAACAGUUCUGUUCUAUUUUGCUUAUCGACUGGUAGGGCAAAGACUGGCUUAUCACAGAAGUGCUUCCAUGUCAGAACUUCAGUCAGAGACAAUAAAAAUUAAAAUUUAGCUACCUGAAUCAGAAAUGUCUUCUGUUUCAGUGCCAGAAAAGCUGGGUUGAGUCCUCAGGCUCCCCUUCUCCUCAUCCUUCCCAGAAGGAUAAGAAGGAACAAUUUGGGAUGCUGCUGCAGCAUGGAUAAAGGAGGAAAAGGAUUCACUAAUUCUUCAGAUAAAGAACAAACCACAUGCUUCCCUCACAUUUCUUCUGAGGAGAACAAAGCCAGCAUCUCCUCAGCUUUCCACAGAAACUCCACAACUGGUUGCAAGUGACCAAUUUAGGAUGAGUUGGUGAAGUCACGGUGGAAACUGUGUUGUCAUCAGUGAAGAAAUAUUUAAGCUGGAAAGGAAGGGACCUGUGAGAGUUUUUCAGACCGAAAACAUGAAAAGCCUCAUUCACCAACUUAAUUGUAUCAAUUCACCAAAACACACCAUGACAGCAAAAGUCCUCUCUUCAGUCUUGCAAAGGAAGAAGCAUCUGCUGCUCACAGGAAGUUCCAAAUGGACAGGAACUAACUUGUCUCUGCAUUUUUCGUUUACUCUUCUACUCUCACCCAUGCUUCAAAAGAGAUGAUCCACAACUGCCUGAACACUGCCAGCAAAGAGUUGCCCUGAGGAGAUGAGAGGUGGCUGCCCCUGCCCUGCAGGGAGACCUGAACGAGAGCCACCUGAGGAGCAGACCAGGUGCUCAGCCUAUGUGGGGCGGAGCUGUUCCGCAAGGUAGGAGGCUGCUGGCAGCACCAAAGGAAGAAGGCACAGAGACAGCAGCACCCAUGGGGCCCCCGCCACUCAAGCGCCCUAAGAAAGCUCCACCCAAACCAGUGCUACUCCAGCCCUGCCAGUCCCUGCUGCAGCAGCACAGAGGGAAACGUGCCAGCCUCUGGCCCCCUUCAAGCUGCCACUGAGCAGACAGAUAAUUUUGGCAAUAUGUUUGAGUAAUACACCUUCUCCACUCUCAGGUCCUUUCAGUUAUUUAUCUAUUUAUCUCUGUAAUGGUUCUGGAAAUAAAAUGUUUAAAG